AUGAGACUCACAAUGUUAAAUGCUACCUUUUAAAUUUUCAUUUGGAAGCCGAAAAAUAAAAAUGAAAUGAAUCUUGCUGGGUGUGGUGAUUCGUACCUUUAAUCCCAGCACUCGGAGGCAAAAACAGGCAGAUGUUUGCGAGUUCCCGGCCAACAAGCAAAUAUACAACAAGGCUCUGUUUCAAAACAUAAAUAAAUGGAUAAUGGAUAGGUAAACAAUAACAUCUGCUGGUCUAGAGUAUCAAUAUUUGUGUCAGUAACAUUGACAAUAAGUAUAUAGGGGUAACGAGAUGGUUCCGCAGGCAGGGACACUUGUAGCCAAGCCUGAUGACCUGAGUUCAAUCCCUGGGACCCACAUGAUAGACUCUUGCAAGGUCCUUUGUCCCCGCAUGUGUAUUGUGUGUGUGCAUGCCCAAUAAAGGAAUGAAUAUUUAAACAUGCAGGUAUCUAUACAGGGUUUAUUUCUCUCCCUUUCCACCUAAAUUACCUGUUAUCUCGAAGUUCUUUACAUCAGUAUGAUCAAUAUUGCAUCUCUGUACACUUGGUAGGUAGCCACUGGUCUGAGAGUGACCCUAAACACUUGACUGUGACUACUCCAGGCUGAGAUGUGUUGUGGUCACUUGUAAAUACUGACCAAUUCUGGAUGCUCGAAGCAUAUAUAAUUUGUACCACUACAAAAAGAAUCCAAGACUUUUAAAAACCAAUUAAUUGUGUGGUGUGUGGUCUAUGACAUGUAUGUGGGGGGACAUCAGGUUAUCUUCUACCUAAUUUCUUUUAAAAAUUAUUAUUUCAACUGUCUUUCAAUACUUUGUGGGUUCUUCUUUCUUUCGCUCUUCCCCCGCACCUUUUCUCCCACCCUUUCAACCCCCUAACAAUAGAUAGGAAAGGAAAAGAAAGAAAUCCCUGAAUAAAGUCAGGGGUCAGAAAGGGAGUGACGUUACCAUUAGACUGCUUCCACCUGAUUCGGGGCAUCAAUUUCCUUGGGGCAAGUUUUAUCUUUGCUGUCAGGAUAUCUAGUUUCUUCUUCUGUUGUUUCUUCUUUGCACACAACUACUUAACAGAUUUCUACCAGCAACACCCAACAAUUACCACGAAUAACCAACAACCUCCUCCCCCCCACCCCCCGCAACCUAUCAGGGUCCUAGCAUUUAUAUUCCCUCCAAAAAGUCCCCAGAAUUAAAAAAACAAAACAAAACCCACAAUCACAGAAACUAUCUACAGCUUGCAAAGUCACACCCCUGCUAGAGCACAAGGCAAAUCUUAGUCACCUGCUGUGGGCAGUCUAAAGCAGCCCCAUGUCCCACAAACGAAAACACACACACACACAAAAAAAUUCUUAUAAUAUUUCUGUUUUUAAAAAAAAGAAACAAAAUUCAGCGCAGGGAAUGAAACUUGGAUUCUCUGAAAGAGCAGCCAGUGUUUCUUAACUGUUGACCCAUCUCUCUGGCCCUCUGCCUUGUUUCUUCAGGACAGAUUCUUUCACAGAACUUGGAGCUCACCAGAUCAGUUAGCUUGGAGGAUCCUCCUGUCUCUGCCUCCCCAGCGCGGAGCUUGAAGACGUGCCCCGCCCAUGCUCUGCAUUCUCAUGGGUGUUGGAGAUCCUGACUAGGGUCCUAGAGUUCUGAAGCCAGCGCUUCACCCACAAAUCAUCACCCUGGCCACAAGACUUAACUUUUAAAGACUCACAAUAAGUCAUCUUUUUCAGUAAAGAAAGAAGAGAAAAAAAAAAUCAAAGAAGCACAUGAUCGGGAAGCACGUGAUCGAGAAGCACGUGAUCAGAGCCCUGCAUCCUUCUUCGGAGCAGCUUGUCCGCUAAACUGCUCCCUCCCCUGCCUCCUUCAGCAGAGAAAACCAGAUGCCUUGUGAGUCCAUUAAACAAGAAUCCACGCUGCACAAAGGAGCAGGGAGAGACUAGGAGUGAGCUCAUGAAAGUUAAUUCAAAUAACUGGACGUUAAAGUGAGACUUUAAUAAAAACGUGACAAUGUGAAAUGAGAGAUGCCCAGGGAAGAACAGAAUGAGCCAUGAGGGAAGACCGAGCUGGUAAUAGACUCAUGGGUUUGAACAAAUGACUUGGGAAACUUCAAAUACAGAACCAGAAGUUUCUACGGAAGGAAGAAGCUAUCCCAGGGCUCGGCAAUCGUGCCCUAGCCUAGGACUGAAGAGUCACCUGCCUCUCUGAUGGAAAGAAUUGGGAGUGGGAGGCAGCUCAGGGUUGUGCCAUGACUCCUCUGGGCCCCAGCUCUGUAAGACAAAUGAGUUAACCGAUUAACCAACACAUUUAUCCUCUUGAUCUGACCUUAGCACACAUCAACACAGGGCUCCGGAAGGAAUCUGGACAAACAUUUAAAAGCAGUGUCUCGGGCUGGAGAGAUGGCUCAGUGGUUUAAGAGCACUGACUGCACUUCCAGAGGUCCUGAGUUCAAAUCCCGGCAACCACAUGGUGGCUCACGACCAUCUGUAAUGGGAUCUGAUGCCCUGAAGACAGCAACAGUGGACUCAUAUACAUAAAAUAAAUAAAUCUUAAAAGCAGUGUCUCUUA